CGCACAUUGCGCCCGCCAGCAUUCUGGCGGGCAUGCCUGUUCGAGCGUCAUUUCAACCCCUCAGGCCCUGGUGCCUGGCGUCGGGGCUCUCCCUCGCGGGAGGCCCCCAGAGACAGUGGCGGACCCGCCGCGGCUCCGAGCGCAGUAGUAAAAUUCUCGCUCAGGGGUACCGCGGGGGGGCUCAUCCGGCCGUAAAACUAGGUCUCCGGACCGACCCAAACAAGGUUGACCUCGGAUCAGGUAGGAAUACCCGCUGAACUUAA
rnacentral:misc_RNA from 1 species